rnacentral:rRNA from 1 species
AUAUUAAUAAGCGGAGGAAAAGAAACUAACAAGGAUUCCCCGAGUAAUGGCGAACGAAACGGGAAUAGCCCAAAUUUGAAAUCUCUGGCGCAAGUCAGCGAGUUGUAAUUUGGAAAGAAGGUGUUCCUUGCCUCUCUAAUUUUGCAAAAGUCCACUGGAAUGUGGCGGCACUUUUGUGCUUC